GUGCUGGCUUUGGCAACGCAUAUACUAAAAUUGGAACAUACAGAGAAGAAAAGCAUGGCCCCGACGCAAGAAUGACACAUAAAUUCGUGAAGCGUUCCAUAUUUUU
rnacentral:snRNA from 1 species